rnacentral:rRNA from 1 species
GACGAACCGUGCGAACGUUGUUCGGAAUCACUGGGCAUAAAGGGCGCGUAGGCGGCUUAUCAAGUCAGGGGUGAAAUCCUGGAGCUCAACUCCAGAACUGCCUUCGAUACUGGAAAGCUCGAGUCCGGGAGAGGUGAGUGGAACUGCGAGUGUAGAGGUGAAAUUCGUAGAUAUUCGCAAGAACACCAGUGGCGAAGGCGGCUCACUGGCCCGGUACUGACGCUGAGGUGCGAAAGCGUGGGGAGCAAACAGG